ACUGUUAUCUUCUUUAUUUCUUUGGUAUCCUCUUAUUAUGGAGACGGAGCGGGUCUUUGUUAGUGGUACAUCUGAAUUAUUGAGAAAGUUGGUUUAUGCUGUUGACGUAGAGUUGGAUCGAUAUUCUGAUCGCGCUCAGGAUUUCAAUGAUCAGCUGGAGGGGAUUAAAAAAACCUUGGAAAUGAUUGAGGCUGUUAGCUUUGAUGCUGAGAGGAAGCAGGUGAAUGAUGUGAAAAGUUGGUUAAAGAUUGAGGAGUUAAUGAAAAAGUUGGUUUAUGUUGUUGACGGAGAGUUGGCGAGGGGUGGUGACUGGGAGUUGAAAAGGCUUAAGAAAGCCUUGGAAAUGAUUGAGGCUGUAACCUUUGAUGCUGAGAGGAAACAGGUGAAUGAUGCUGCCGUUAAACAUUGGUUAAUAAAGCUUAAGGAAGUUGCUUAUGAUGCUGAUGAUGUUCUGGAUGAGUACUUCUACAAAGCUGUUAUGCAAUCUAAAAGGAACGUUAAGGUGAUUCCCGUCUUAGCUAACCCAAUUAACUCUCUUCCAGGUCUCGUUGAAAAACUCGAUCGACUUUCAAGUGAAAAAUCAAACAUAGAAUGGAUGCUGCUGAACCCGUUAUCAAAGUCAUCACCAUCUUCUGUGGAUUAUAAUCAACUACAGAAAAAAGUUUCAGUCAUAUCCACAGCGAACAUUAAAUUAUCAGAUCAUUCAAAUUUGAAACUGAGGUACGAUAAUUUAUCCACCUAUUUGAAACAAUGUUUGUCAUAUUUCUCUUUGUUUCCUAAAGAUUGGAAAUUUGAUAGAGAUACCUUGAUUCAAUUGUGGAUGGCUGAAGGAUUCCUUGAGUCAUCUAAUGGAGGAAAUCAAAUCUCUCUUGAAGAUAUUGGUAUUGAAUAUUUCAAAAAUUUAUUCUCAUUUUCAUUAUUUCAAGACAUAGAAUAUGACGAGCUAGGUGACAUUAUUGUUAAAAAUACAAAUUAAUUUGUGAUCAUUAUUCUAGAAUAAUCUUGAAGUUCCCUAGACUAGGUAAAGCCCAAUACAUUCUAGAGUUUUUGGGCCUCUAGAGUCUUCUUUUUAGUCACAUGUAAUUAAAUGUAAUUACAUCUGUCUCAUGCAGAGCAAUUAAAUGUCCCAUCACUACUUCAUUUGAGGUACCUUAGCCUCACACGUUUUGAUGUGAGUAAUAUAUCCAUUAGUCAACUUUACCUUCUUCA